rnacentral:rRNA from 1 species
CCUACGGGUGGCUGCAGUGGGGAAUAUUGGGCAAUGGGCGCAAGCCUGAUCCAGCAACGCCGCGUGAAGGAAGAAGGCUUUCGGGUUGUAAACUUCUUUCAAGAGGGAAGAGCAGAAGGCUGUAUCUGUUGAAAAAGCCACGUCUAACUACGUGCCAGCAGCCGCGGUAAUACGGAGGUGGAAAGUGUUCUGCGGAUUUACGGGGGGUAAAGGGCGUGCAGCCGGGAAGACAAGUCAGAUGUGAAAGCCGGCGGCUCAACCGCGGGACUGCAUUUGAAACUGUUUGUCUAGAGUGCAGGAGAGGUCAUCGGAAUUCCUUGUGUAGCGGUGAAAUGCGUAGAUAUAAGGAGGAACACCAGUGGCGAAGGCGGAUGACUGGACGGCAACUGACGGUGAGGCGCGAAAGCGUGGGGAGCAAACAGGAUUAGAUACCCCUGUAGUC